CUUUUUCUUCUUUGCUGAUUUUCCUUUAUCUCUUUGGUGCUGUCAUUGUUGAUCUUCUUGUUUCUUUCAUUUCCAACAAGUUCUUGUUGGGGAAAAGUAGUGUCGAUUGGAUCGAAGACUUGGAGAGUUGUUUCGGUACCUUAGGUAUGUAUAAUUGGAGAAAAAUGGUUCAUCAUUUGUUGGUGGCCAUUUGGUUAGCGUUUGGGGUUGAAUCGCGUGGUUGCACCAUCGAGGACUUCGACGUGGAUGUAUCAUACGAAGGACUUAUCAGUUUGCCCGUGCUACCUACAAUGCACACAACACUAAGGGAUGUCAUAUUCACGAUCCCGCUCUCCGCUAUAUACACAAGUUCCUUGCAUAUAAUUAUUAUGGGUGUAAUCACAUUACAUCCUAGCUAAGUAAGGUUGAAUUAUUUUUCUCAUGGUGUAUGUAAACCGGUGUGAAGGUAAAUUUGGGUUUUUGGUUUAAGCACGCCUUCGAGUGUGUUUUGCGUUCUGAUCGUCCAUUAAUUCUCAGACCUUACAUUACUCACCUUGCAUCACAUUUAUUUCCGCUAAUGUUUAAUUCUAAUCAAUUUACUUAUGCUUUUUACAAUGGAUCCUUUUCAUGCUAGGUGUUUGGACUCGAUGGGACUUCUCGCCGGAACUCCUAGUGCGCCACACAUUGUCCCUUCUGGCACAAUUACCCCACUCAAUGAACGCGUAUUUCUUCGGAGGACUACUUAAUCCAUGGAACCAGAAGAGUAUCCCCCUUCGGACUUGCAUAACAAAAUCCAUGAGAUGCAUGGUCAGCUAGACUUCUUUGAGACCAACAUUGUCGAGAUACAUUUGUACCUUCACCGAUACCCUAUAGACGUGGCCAAGGCCGCGAUCGACAUUGAUCGAGGAGUAUCUUAACCCUCUCUCUUUUGCAUCUUACUUUUUAUUGUUCAUAUUGGGGCGAUAUGAUUUUAAGUGAGGGGGUGGAAUUGGAAAUCAAAUUAUCCUUUGCUUAUUAUUUGAUUGAAAUUGAGUUAUUUCUUGACUUGAA